rnacentral:rRNA from 1 species
GCAGUCGAGCGGCAGCGGGGGGAAGCUUGCUUCCCCGCCGGCGAGCGGCGGACGGGUGAGUAAUGUCUGGGAAACUGCCUGAUGGAGGGGGAUAACUACUGGAAACGGUAGCUAAUACCGCAUAACGUCGCAAGACCAAAGAGGGGGACCUUCGGGCCUCUUGCCAUCGGAUGUGCCCAGAUGGGAUUAGCUAGUAGGUGGGGUAAAGGCUCACCUAGGCGACGAUCCCUAGCUGGUCUGAGAGGAUGACCAGCCACACUGGAACUGAGACACGGUCCAGACUCCUACGGGAGGCAGCAGUGGGGAAUAUUGCACAAUGGGCGCAAGCCUGAUGCAGCCAUGCCGCGUGUGUGAAGAAGGCCUUCGGGUUGUAAAGCACUUUCAGCGGGGAGGAAGSGGGCAGGCUUAAUACGUCUGUUCAUUGACGUUACCCGCAGAAGAAGCACCGGCUAACUCCGUGCCAGCAGCCGCGGUAAUACGGAGGGUGCAAGCGUUAAUCGGAAUGACUGGGCGUAAAGCGCACGCAGGCGGUCUGUUAAGUUGGAUGUGAAAUCCCCGGGCUUAACCUGGGAACUGCAUUCAAAACUGACAGGCUAGAGUCUCGUAGAGGGGGGUAGAAUUCCAGGUGUAGCGGUGAAAUGCGUAGAGAUCUGGAGGAAUACCGGUGGCGAAGGCGGCCCCCUGGACGAAGACUGACGCUCAGGUGCGAAAGCGUGGGGAGCAAACAGGAUUAGAUACCCUGGUAGUCCACGCUGUAAACGAUGUCGAUUUGGAGGUUGUGGUCUUGAACCGUGGCUUCCGGAGCUAACGCGUUAAAUCGACCGCCUGGGGAGUACGGCCGCAAGGUUAAAACUCAAAUGAAUUGACGGGGGCCCGCACAAGCGGUGGAGCAUGUGGUUUAAUUCGAUGCAACGCGAAGAACCUUACCUACUCUUGACAUCCAGAGAAGACUGCAGAGAUGCGGUUGUGCCUUCGGGAACUCUGAGACAGGUGCUGCAUGGCUGUCGUCAGCUCGUGUUGUGAAAUGUUGGGUUAAGUCCCGCAACGAGCGCAACCCUUAUCCUUUGUUGCCAGCACUUCGGGUGGGAACUCAAGGGAGACUGCCGGUGAUAAACCGGAGGAAGGUGGGGAUGACGUCAAGUCAUCAUGGCCCUUACGAGUAGGGCUACACACGUGCUACAAUGGCGUAUACAAAGAGAAGCGACCUCGCGAGAGCAAGCGGACCUCAUAAAGUACGUCGUAGUCCGGAUUGGAGUCUGCAACUCGACUCCAUGAAGUCGGAAUCGCUAGUAAUCGUAGAUCAGAAUGCUACGGUGAAUACGUUCCCGGGCCUUGUACACACCGCCCGUCACACCAUGGGAGUGGGUUGCAAAAGAAGUAGGUAGCUUAACCUUCGGGAGGGCGCU